AUGGAAAUGUUCCCCUCAGAAGAGAUUCAGGUCAUUCUCAUGGAACCCUGGCUGUUCUCACUAGAUCAACUUACUAUAAAACAAGCAAGAAAACUAUGGGCAGCUGAGUGAUAGAGUAUUUGCCUGCUAUGCACAAGUGUUGUGGGAGUAGUCAUUCCACCUAUAACUUUGGAAUGCCGACUUUAGGGCGUGACUUUUGUCUGUGGAUGUGAUCUCUUAAAAGAGAGACAGUGGCCACACGCUUCUUCCCGCCACAAUUAUACCUUGUCCUGUAUCCAUGAGUCUGUUUUCCCCGUAGCAUCCCUUAACAAAUUGAUAUAUAUAGAUAUAGAUACACAUACAUAUAUGCAUAUAUCUUUGUGGUUCUUGUAACACACAAGACCCUGGAUGUCAACCCCAGCAGCACUAAAUACGGUCCCUUCAAAUCUCUAGCUUCUUAAUUCCUGGGAGGUCUCUCCCUGUCACUCAUUCCUACCAUGAUGUCAUCGCCACAAUGAGAUAUCACCCAGGACCUCAUCACAGCCACCACCAUGCUAAAUGUACUUUAAGCCUUCAAAACUGACGAAAACAAACCUCUCCUACUUAUUAGCUGUAGGAACAGGAAACAGACUGAUAAACAUGAUCACCUGGUAUUUGCCUAACUCGUUCCCUUUUAAACCAUCCCUGGGCUUUCCCGGCUUAUGUCCCCUUAAUCACAUUCACCUCCAGAGAGCUCAUUUCUCCCCUCCAGCAUGAAGCAUGGCGCCUGGCACAGAGGAAGGUCUCCAAUGAAUAAAUGAAUGGCCCUUAUUGUAGGCCUGAACUGGGAAAGUAGAGGGACUGGUCUGACCAAUGACUGACCCUCAUGACCAGGCCCCAGCAAACUCUGAGGAGGUCAUCGAGAUAUGUUUGCGUAUCUCUCAUGGCAAAGCACAUGCUGUGGAGAAGUAGGCACAAGUGCCAGGAUGGGGGAUGUCUUCCUCAGGCACGUCCAGCUUUGUGGAGCAUGUGAACUUACAGGGAAAACUGGGCAUUUGGCCUCUCACAUGACUGAACAGUACUCUUUCUUUUUUAGGUUUUGAAUUUACGGGAAAAACUGGGCAUUUGGCCUCUCACAUGACUGGACAGUACUCUUUCUUUUUUAGGUUUUUGGGGAAGAAAAAGUACCCUGACGACAGACUUGACUUCCUAGGAGUUUCCAACAACUGAUUUUUCUAAAUGUUUCCCACUUCUCCCAGAAUCUUGGUGGUUGUUUAGAACUGACUUCUCCCAAAAGAAGGAAGAUUGCAGAGUUGAUGUGCUGAACUUGGGACAGCACCAAAUCCAGCCUCCUCCCCUGGCCCCCAUCAAAGAUUUCCAGCAGAACUGGCCCAGUGACCGUCCUGCCCACUGCUAGGGACUGCUGAAUCCAGGCAGGAAGUUCAGAUGCAGGUUCCAUCUGUGUGCCCCAGCCUACAGGGCUGGCGUAUGAAUUUCAGAAGCAAAAGAAUAAGAUAACCCCAUUGUCCCUGUGCAGACCCACCUAGAGGGGUGGGAGGGGGCCCGACUGGAGGGCAGCUGUCCUCUCUGGAAGCAGCCAUUGUCAUGUGUUAGCUUGGCUGUGACAAAAUAACCGAGAGAAGGGUGGUCAGAAGGAUUUAUCUGGCUGUGUGGCUCUGAGAUUUAGAACAUUACGCUAGAAGGGAGUGGUAUAAGUAAACUAUUCUCGUGAUGGCGUUUGGGAACUGGAGGGACAGCCAGGAAGGAGUUGCAGAUGAGGUAUUUUUCUAGGUCACACCAUUGGUGACCCUCUUCCUUCAUCAGGCCUUACUUCUGGGUUCCCACCACUUCCCAGUGAGGUCAUCAUACUAUGAAUCCAUCAAGGGAUCAAUUGAUUGAUUAGAUCAGAGCCCUCAGGAUCCAAUUGGAUGAGGAUCAGAGCCCACCAUAUUGGGACCAUGCCUUUAACACAUGAACCUUUGAGCCCAGGAGCCUCAGGCAAGUUGAGUCCUCUUCCAGGCCAGAUGCCAGUGCUUCUUCUCCUCUCCGUCUCUCCAGAAUUCCACGCGACUUGAAGACUGUCAGGAGAGAGGUGCUAAGACAGAGUCCAGGAGCCAGCGACAGGACAGAGGACGCCGGGUGUGUAACAACAGAAGUGGGUUUUCUCUUGCCCUGGCUCCUUGCUGGCUGUGCUACCCCAAGCAACUUAUUAACCUCUCUUGACUUCUGUCCUCUUGACCAUGAAUUGAGGUUCACAGCCUCCGCCCACUGGAUUCUUCAGUGAGACCCAGGUCAUUUCAACAGCUCAAAGCAAAUGGCUUCUGAGAGAUAAAAAUGCCCCUGGCUUUAGGAGAUUGCCUAUAACACACAAGAUUAAUGUAUUACCUAAGAUUUUAUUAAUUUUUUGGGUAUACAGAGGUGUUGUGGGUGGGUUUUUUUAAAAAAAAAAAAAAAGAAUAGCUCUGUUUCCCUAGGUAGAUGGUACCGGAUGUCCCAAUUUCCAUAAAUAAAACCCUUCAUUUCUCCUG